CUUUCCUCCUCUUUAAAGUGCCCAUGUUAUGCCCAUUUUCAGGUUCAUAAUUGUGUUUUAAGGUUGUACCAGAAGAGAAAGGGUUUCAUUUUC